AAGGGAGACCUAAUUCCGGUAGGAGACGAAAAAAAAGUAGUCCCAACCAAGAAUCAACCCCAAAAGGUCGGAACGAGGUAUGAGGCUUUCAAACUAGGUUCUGGGUUCAUAAAAGACCUGAAUCAGGAACAAGGGCUAUUAGCUCAGGUGGUUAGAGCGCACCCCUGAUAAGGGUGAGGUCCCUGGUUCGAGUCCAGGAUGGCCCACCUGCACAGGUGGCAAAAACAAGAGAAGCUCCGAAUCAGCACCUUAUCUUAUAUACAUAUAUAAGAGAGAAUGCUGGCUCUGAGUACAGAGUCCAGAGGAACCUUGAAAACUGCAUAGAGCUAGGUGAAAAAGCCAAAAAAGAAGACCGCAA
rnacentral:tRNA from 1 species